UACGUAGGGUGCGAGCGUUAAUCGGAAUUACUGGGCGUAAAGCGUGCGCAGGCGGUUCGUUGUGUCCGUCGUGAAAGCCCCGGGCUUAACCUGGGAACUGCGAUGGAAACUAGCGAGCUGGAGUGUGGCAGAGGGGGGUGGAAUUCCGCGUGUAGCAGUGAAAUGCGUAGAGAUGCGGAGGAACACCGAUGGCGAAGGCAGCCCCCUGGGCCAGCACUGACGCUCAUGCACGAAAGCGUGGGGAGCAAACAGG
rnacentral:rRNA from 1 species